GUAUUAUUGCGGUUUAUCGCAUAGGUACAUUCUGUGACUUUAUGGAGUAUGUAAAGUAAGGGCGCGCAGACUUUCGAGCCGAAGCUCUACUGGCCCGACGCCGUUGGUUCACAAGAGGGGUGGAUGGAUUUCUCAGAGGAAGAGGAGAUCUUUCCCGAAGGUAGACCCCUCCUCCCCCAAGUAAAUUCUGUAAUGAUCCUUCCGCAGGUUCACCUACGGAAA
rnacentral:misc_RNA from 1 species